GACGAAGGAUGCAAGCGUUAUCCGGAUUCAUUGGGUUUAAAGGGAGCGUAGGCGGCCUUAUAAGUCAGUGGUGAAAUCUCCUCGCUUAACGAGGAAAUUGCCAUUGAUACUGUAGGGCUUGAGUACAGUUGCCGUUGGCGGAAUAUAACAUGUAGUGGUGAAAUACAUAGAGAUGUCAUAGAACACCGAUUGCGAAGGCAGCUAACGAAACUGUAACUGACGCUGAGGCUCGAAAGUGCGGGGAUCAAACAGG
rnacentral:rRNA from 1 species